rnacentral:rRNA from 1 species
UACGGGGGGAGCAAGCGUUGUUCGGAUUUACUGGGCGUAAAGGGCGCGUAGGCGGUCAGCACAAGUCAGUUGUGAAAUCUCCGGGCUUAACUCGGAAAGGUCAACUGAUACUGUGCGACUAGAGUGCAGAAGGGGCAACUGGAAUUCUCGGUGUAGCGGUGAAAUGCGUAGAGAUGUGGAGGAACACCUGUGGCGAAGGCGCCUUGCUGGCCGAUUUCUGACGCUGAGGCGCGAAAGCGUGGGGAGCAAACAGG